UACGGGAGGCAGCAGUGGGGAAUCUUGCGCAAUGGGCGAAAGCCUGACGCAGCAACGCCGCGUGCGGGAAGAAGGCUUUCGGGCUGUAAACCGCUUUCAGCAGGAACGAAAAUGACGGUACC
rnacentral:rRNA from 1 species